rnacentral:rRNA from 1 species
GACAGAGGUGCCAAGCGUUAGGCGGAAUCACUGGGCUUAAAGCGUGUGUAGGCGGAUUCCUAAGUACCUUGUGAAAUCCCAUGGCUCAACCAUGGAACUGCUUGGUAUACUGGGUGUCUUGAGCCAGCUAGGGGCUACCGGAACAAAUGGUGGAGCGGUGAAAUGCGUAGAUAUCAUUUGGAACGCCAAUGGUGAAAACAGGUAGCUGGGGCUGUGCUGACGCUGAGACACGAAAGCCAGGGGAGCGAACGGG